rnacentral:rRNA from 1 species
UACAGAGGUCUCAACCGUUGUUCGGAUUCAUUGGGCGUAAAGGGUGCGUAGGCGGUCGCGCAAGUCGGAUGUGAAAUCUCAGGGCUCAACCCUGAAACUGCAUUCGAUACUGCGUGGCUAGAGUGCUGGAGGGGAGACUGGAAUUUACGGUGUAGCAGUGAAAUGCGUAGAUAUCGUAAGGAAGACCAGUGGCGAAGGCGAGUCUCUGGACGGCAACUGACGCUGAGGCACGAAGGCCAGGGGAGCGAACAGG